rnacentral:tRNA from 1 species
GCCGCCUUAGCUCAGUUGGUAGAGCACUUGACUUGUAAUCAUGAGGUCUCCGGUUCGAAUCCGGGAGGCGGCU